GUACAGGUUUACGCUCGUACAGGUUUACACUCGUACAGGUCCGCGUUUACACUCGUACAGGUUUACACCUGUACAGGUUUACACUCGUACAGGUUUACUCUCGUACAGGUUUACACUCAUACAGGUCCGCGUUUACACUCGUACAGGUUUACACCUGUACAGGUUUACACUCGUACAGGU